rnacentral:rRNA from 1 species
GACGAACGCUGGCGGCGUGCUUAACACAUGCAAGUCGAACGGAAAGGCCCUGCUUUUGUGGGGUGUUCGAGUGGCGAACGGGUGUGUAACACGUGAGUAACCUGCCCUUGACUUUGGGAUAACUUCAGGAAACUGGGGCUAAUACCGGAUAGGAGCUCCUGCUGCAUGGUGGGGGUUGGAAAGUUUCGGCGGUUGGGGAUGGACUCGCGGCUUAUCAGCUUGUUGGUGGGGUAGUGGCUUACCAAGGCUUUGACGGGUAGCCGGCCUGGGAGGGUGACCGGCCACAUUGGGACUGAGAUACGGCCCAGACUCCUACGGGAGGCAGCAGUGGGGAAUAUUGCACAAUGGGCGGAAGCCUGAUGCAGCAACGCCGCGUGCGGGAUGACGGCCUUCGGGUUGUAAACCGCUUUCGCCUGUGACGAAGCGUGAGUGACGGUAAUGGGUAAAGAAGCACCGGCUAACUACGUG